GAGUUUGAUCAUGGCUCAGAACGUACGCUGGCGGCACGCCUAACACAUGCAAGUCGAACGAAGUAGCAAUACUUAGUGGCAGACGGGUGAGUAACAUGUAGGUAUCUGCCCUUUGGCCUGGAAUAACACGAGGAAACCUGUGCUAAUACCGGAUAAGUCUUUACGGAGAAAGCUUUAUGCACCAUUGGAUGAGCCUGCACUUGAUUAGUUUGUUGGUGGGGUAAUGGCCUACCAAGACUGUGAUCAAUAGCUGAUUUGAGAGGAUGAUCAGCCACAUUGGGACUGAGACACGGCCCAAACUCCUACGGGAGGCAGCAGUGGGGAAUCUUGCACAAUGGAGGAAACUCUGAUGCAGCGAUGCCGCGUGAGUGAAGAAGGCCCUUGGGUUGUAAAGCUCUUUCGUCGGGGAAGAAAAUGACUGUACCCGAAUAAGAAGGUCCGGCUAACUUCGUGCCAGCAGCCGCGGUAAUACGAAGGGACCUAGCGUAGUUCGGAAUUACUGGGCUUAAAGAGUUCGUAGGUGGUUGAAAAAGUUAGUGGUGAAAUCCCAGAGCUUAACUCUGGAACUGCCAUUAAAACUUUUCAGCUAGAGUAUGAUAGAGGAAAGCAGAAUUUCUAGUGUAGAGGUGAAAUUCGUAGAUAUUAGAAAGAAUACCAAUUGCGAAGGCAGCUUUCUGGAUCAUUACUGACACUGAGGAACGAAUGCAUGGGUAGCGAAGAGGAUUAGAUACCCUCGUAGUCCAUGCCGUAAACGAUGUGUGUUAGACGUUGGAAAUUUAUUUUCAGUGUCGCAGGAAACCGAUAAACACACCGCCUGGGGAGUACGACCGCAAGGUUAAAACUCAAAUGAAUUGACGGGGACCCGCACAAGUAGUGGAGCAUGGUGGUUUAAUUCGAGAUACGCGCAGAACCUUACACACUUGACAUGUCGUCGCGACUCUAGAGAUUAGAGUUUCGUCGCGACGAAACACAGUGCUGCAUGCCUGUCGUCAGCUCGUGUCGUGAGAUGUGGUUAGUCCGCACCGAGCGCAUCCUCACUUAGUUGGCAUCAUUAGUUGGGCACUCUGGAGACUGCAUGAUAGCCUGAGCAGUGGUAUGCCUAGUCCAUGUCCUUACGUUGCUCUACACUGGUCUACAAUGGAUCUUCACAG
rnacentral:rRNA from 1 species